AGUGGCCAUGUGACCUCUGAGUGAGGUCACAAUAGGCAGAGCAGCUUGUUCUCCAGUGUCACCUGAUUUGGUGGGAACCAAGUACCCUGUCAUGGAGACACUUAGUCACUCCUGAGGAGAGUCUAGAGUGGAGAUGGAGUGUCAGCUGCCACACCAGGCCUAGGAGCCUCUUUUCCAGUCUCUUUCUAUUGUCUCUUGAGACAUUACUCUACUCUGCAGCCAAGUUGAUGAAGAACUCACAGAAACUCUCCUGCCUUAGCACCCCCACGUGAGCAGAUUCCAGGGAUGAACCACCACACUCGAAGGAUUACUCCACUUUGCUAAAAGUUUAGAUAUUUGUCCUGGUACCCACGGAACCCAGAACCACCAACCCCGAGACAGUACCACCCACAAUGCGCUGGGACCUUCUCAUCAAUUGCUGAUUAAGAAAAUGCAGUACAGGCUUGCCUACAGCCUGAUCUUAUGGAGGCAUUUUCUCAAUUAAGGCCCACCUCGUAAAUGACUCCACAUACAGUGUUUCAUUUACCCCAGGCUGGCCGCAGAUUCACCAUGCAGCAGAAGAUGGAUGUUCUAGUUUCAUCUCUAUUGACGUGAUAAAAUAUGUGGACAAGAAUGGACCCAGGGAAGGAAAGGAUUUAUGUGGCAUACAAGUUGCAGGUUAAGACUCAUCCACAGUAAAGAGCAAAGAGAACAAAGGAAUCCUCACUGUGUGCUUGCAUCCCCACUGUGUGCUUGCUACUCGGAUAGCGUUCUCCAUUCUUACACAGUGCCAGGGCACAACAUAUCACCCAUAUUCAGAGCGGGGGUUUUCCACCCCCACUAACAGUCCAGACAAUUCCUCCCACACACACAGGCAGGCCUGCCCUUGACAGCCCCUCAGG